UUCUGGGCCGCACGCGCGCUACACUGACACAGCCAGCGAGUCCUUCCUUGGCCGAGAGGCCCGGGUAAUCUUGUUAAACUGUGUCGUGCUGGGGAUAGAGCAUUGCAAUUAUUGCUCUUCAACGAGGAAUCCCUAGUAAGCGCAAGUCAUCAGCUUGCGUUGAUUACGUCCCUGCCCUUUGUACACACCGCCCGUCGCUACUACCGAUUGAACGGCUCAGUGAGGCCUUCGGACUGGCCGAGAGAGGUGGGCAACCACCACUCAUGUGCCGGAAAGUUGUACGAACUCGGUCGUUUAGAGGAAGUAAAAGUCGUAACAAGGUCUCCGUUGGUGAACCAGCGGAGGGAUCAUUACUGAGUUGAAAAACUCCAACCCCUGUGAACAUAACCUCUGUCGUUGCUUCGGCGGGCACGCCCGCCGGAGGUUCAAAACUCUUAUUUUUUUCAGUAUCUCUGAGCCUAAAAGACAAAUAAUCAAAACUUUCAACAACGGAUCUCUUGGUUCUGGCAUCGAUGAAGAACGCAGCGAAAUGCGAUAAGUAAUGUGAAUUGCAGAAUUCAGUGAAUCAUCGAAUCUUUGAACGCACAUUGCGCCCGCCGGUAUUCCGGCGGGCAUGCCUGUUCGAGCGUCAUUUCAACCCUCAAGCCUCGGCUUGGUGGUGGGGCGCCCGGGCCCUCCGCGGGCCCGGGCCCCCAAGUUCAUCGGCGGGCUCGUCGGUACACUGAGCGCAGUAAAACGCGGUAAAACGCGAACUCGUUCGGAUCGUCCCGGCGUGCUCCACCCCUAAACCCCCAAUUCUUUAAGGGUGACUCGGAUCAGGUAGGAAUACCCGCUGAACUUAGCAUAUCAUAACGGGAGGAAAAAAACCACGGGAUUGCCCCUUACGCGAGGGAAGGGCAAC
rnacentral:rRNA from 1 species